rnacentral:rRNA from 1 species
GACGAACGCUGGCGGCGUGCUUAACACAUGCAAGUCGAACGGAAAGGCCCUGCUUUUGUGGGGUGCUCGAGUGGCGAACGGGUGAGUAACACGUGAGUAACCUGCCCUUGACUUUGGGAUAACUUCAGGAAACUGGGGCUAAUACCGGAUAGGAGCUCCUGCUGCAUGGUGGGGGUUGGAAAGUUUCGGCGGUUGGGGAUGGACUCGCGGCUUAUCAGCUUGUUGGUGGGGUAGUGGCUUACCAAGGCUUUGACGGGUAGCCGGCCUGAGAGGGUGACCGGCCACAUUGGGACUGAGAUGCGGCCCAGACUCCUACGGGACGCAGCAGUGGGGAAUAUUGCACAAUGGGCUGAAGCCUGAUGCAGCAACGCCGCGUGCGGGAUGACGGCCUUCGGGUUGUAUACCGCUUUCGCCUGUGACGAAGCGUGAGUGACGGUAGUGGGUAAAGAAGCACCGGCUAACUACGUG